rnacentral:misc_RNA from 1 species
UCCCGCUUACGCGGGCAGUUCCACUAGAGUGAUACAACUAAUGGUAGGGGUUGCGUUCGUUAACCCACUUAAGGGUACGCCUCACGGUACGAACUGACGACAGCCAUGCAACACCUGUGCUACACCCUCGAAGGAGUCCCACUUUCAUGGGAUUUGCAGUAGCAUGUCAAAUCCAGGUAAGGUUUUUGGGUUAGCAGCCAAUUAAAGAGCGUGCUCCACCGCUUGUGCGGGUCCCCGCCAAUUCCUUUGAGUUUUAGCCUUGCGGCCGUACUCCCCAGGCGGCCUGCUUAACGCGUUAGCUUCGACACCCACAUAAAUGCAGGUAUCCAGCAGGCAUAGUUUACGGCUAGGAGUA